CACGUAGGGUGCGAGCGUUGACCGGAAUUAUUGGGCGUAAAGAGCUCGUAGGCGGUCUGUUACGUCCGCUGUGAAAACCCAGGGCUUAACCCUGGGCUUGCAGUGGAUACGGGCAGACUAGAGGCAGGUAGGGGAGAAUGGAAUUCCCGGUGUAGCGGUGAAAUGCGCAGAUAUCGGGAAGAACACCCGUGGCGAAGGCGGUUCUCUGGGACGGUACUGACGCUGAGACGCGAAAGCGUGGGGAGCGAACAGG
rnacentral:rRNA from 1 species